GAUGAACGCUAGCGGCAGGCCUAACACAUGCAAGUCGAGGGGUAACGGGGAGUGCUUGCACUCUGCCGACGACCGGCGCACGGGUGCGCACCGCGUAUGGAACCUGCCUCUUGCAGGGGAAUAGCCCAGGGAAACUUGGAUUAAUGCCCCGUAGAACCUUUAUAUAGCAUUAUAUUAAGGUUAAAGCCUUCGGGCGGCAAGAGAUGGCCAUGCGUCCCAUUAGCUUGAUGGUAAGGUAACGGCUUACCAUGGCUACGAUGGGUAGGGGCCCUGAGAGGGGGAUCCCCCACACUGGUACUGAGACACGGACCAGACUCCUACGGGAGGCAGCAGUGAGGAAUAUUGGACAAUGGAGGUAACUCUGAUCCAGCCAUGCCGCGUGCAGGAAGACGGCCCUAUGGGUUGUAAACUGCUUUUAUACGGGAAGAAAAACAGCUACGUGUAGUUGACUGACGGUACCGUAAGAAUAAGGACCGGCUAACUCCGUGCCAGCAGCCGCGGUAAUACGGAGGGUCCGAGCGUUAUCCGGAAUUAUUGGGUUUAAAGGGUCCGUAGGCGGGCCAUUAAGUCAGGGGUGAAAGUCUGCGGCUCAACCGUAGAAUUGCCUUUGAUACUGGUGGUCUUGAGUUAUGGUGAAGUGGCUGGAAUAUGUAGUGUAGCGGUGAAAUGCAUAGAUAUUACAUAGAACACCGAUUGCGAAGGCAGGUCACUAACCAUAUACUGACGCUGAUGGACGAAAGCGUGGGGAGCGAACAGGAUUAGAUACCCUGGUAGUCCACGCCGUAAACGAUGGAUACUAGCUGUCCGGAUCCUUGAGAUCUGGGCGGCCAAGCGAAAGUGAUAAGUAUCCCACCUGGGGAGUACGUUCGCAAGAAUGAAACUCAAAGGAAUUGACGGG
rnacentral:rRNA from 1 species